rnacentral:misc_RNA from 1 species
GUAGGUGAACCUGCGGAAGGAUCAUUACAGAGUUCAUGCCCUCACGGGUAGAUCUCCCACCCUUGAAUAUUAUACCUUCGUUGCUUUGGCAGGCCGUGGAAACACCAGAGGCUCCGGCUGAUGCGUGCCUGCCAGAGGAAACAAACUCUGUUUUUAGUGAUGUCUGAGUACUAUAUAAUAGUUAAAACUUUCAACAACGGAUCUCUUGGUUCUG